AGAGUUAAAAAAAAUAACAUCGCCACAUUUCUAUAAAAAUAAAAGUAAGAAUAGAAGAAGAAAAAACAAAAUCAGAGAGAGGAGAGAAAAGCAAUUCUCCCUCUGGUUUCUCCCCCACAACCGCCUUAACCCUAGAUCCGCAAAGCCUCUUCUCCUCCGGUGACUGGGGGUUCCUCUACCUCCGGUCACCCCACCGUUCGUCUGCUGUCCCACCGGCCUUCCCCCUUAGUUUCUCCUUCUCUACCCUCUCCUUCUUGCUCAGUUCUCUGGAUUUUCGAGUUUCAUCGGAUCUAAUCAAAGACACAUGUGUGUGUUGUCUCUCUGGAGAACCGACAAGGUGAGGGUUCGCUGGUGAGCCUAAGGAGCCUUCGAUUCAGCUUCUCCCUGUCAUACGGACAGAUCUGGGUCAGAUCUGAUCUUGCCUCUGCCGGUGAGGAUGGUGGUGCGUCGCUGCCUCUUCCUACCUCUCUCGUCUAUGGCUUGUACCUGUGUAUCUCUGGGUUUCAGCUUGUAUCAAGGUCCCAGUGAAUUUCUCCUCUCCGUCUAGGAGAAACGGUGGUGUCUAGGCCCAUCGCUCAAGGGACCUCUGUUCUAGUUCAAUCGAUAACUGCCAUGGUGUUCAGCAGCAGCGAUUUGGUGGCUCGUCUCCUCACUUUCGGACAUUGGUGAUUAGGGUUUUGAGGACGACCCAACGUGCCACGUCUACCGCUGAGAAACAGAGCCGUCGAGUCCUGUAGUUGUGCCUGCUUAUUGAGGUGACUCAUGUCUCCUCUUGUGCUUCAAUCCUUUCUCUAAACUCAGACGAAACUUCUUUGAAUCCCCUUGAUGUCGCCAUCGUCUGUUUGUGUCGCGUGGCCGGAUGAGGAGCCAAAAACCGCAUGCGCUUGACAUGAUUAUGUUCUUCAUUUCAUCGGGUCUUUGUCAGGGAUUCUCUGUUUGCCUUCUGUUGAGAUAGUUUGUGUAUGGUUACUUGACGUCCUCCUACUUUGGUGUACCGGAACCGUUGCUUGCCGCCUCCGUCGAAGCCGUUGGGAGCCACUUUCGGGUGAGGGUUCGAGCUACUGUAUGUAGUUUUGUCAAUAUCUAAAAGAACAAAAGAAAAGAAAAGAUUAUAAGAAGAUUAUAAGGGUUACUUUGGUGAAGAAGCACGAGGCGGUGGCCGCCGAAAAAGAAGCAGAGAUUGGGGUCACUUUGAAUCUAGCCUUGAUUUUGUUAUUUAAUGAGUUAAGUAUUCUCUUGAGAAAGAUUAAAGGUUACAAAUACAGUGAGAUGAUGGGUGUAGUGGGAAAAUAAUAGGAGUUUUAUAUUAAAAAAUAAUAUAUAGAAAUUAGUUAAUACA